CCUGGCACUCCUUUCAAGGCUUAAUCCUCUCCUUCCUGCAUUUAAAGCUGCGGGUGACUGUCUUUGGUAGCCAUCUGUGGAGGACUCAGAACUAGGGUGGAGGACUAGGAAGCUGCCGUUGAUGGCAAGCCAACCGACACACACAGGUCUCUGUUGGAAGUGCUGCCUGAGAUGCAUGGAGAGCCCCAAAAUUUUGCUUGUUGCUUUGGAGAAGCUCUAGUAGAUGGUGAACACAACAGUAAUUCUCUGGAAAGUCAAGUGCCGGAACCAGGUGAGCCGUGACUAUUAUUUUCCACAGGCGAGAGAGAAUCACGGUCUGAGGGGGAAACGGAAGCCCAGCAGCUCCUGUGGGGGUGGGGAGGAUUCACCUCCAGUUCGGAGCCCCUGGAGGGCCUCCUGUGAGUCUCCACCCAGAAGUCCCUCACUUACUGUCUGGCAACAUAACCUCACUGGACACGGAUCCCCCUGUAUUCUGUCUGCCCUCUUGUCUGCACCUGGAUUUGUGGCACAGCUCUCCCAUUCCUGAACACAGGCUUCUGAGAAGCCACCCCACUCUGACUCCUUUUUUGCCUGUGGCCACCCAUGAAGGUGAUGGUUCCUCUCUGGAACACACAAUGAAUCUCUGACCCCA